rnacentral:rRNA from 1 species
CUGUGGAUUUGCAAAUGGGCGAAGCCUGAUGCAGCCAUGCCGCGUGAGGGAUGACGGCCUUCGGGUUGUAAACCUCUUUUUGUAGGGAAGAAGCGGAAGUGACGGUACCUGCAUAACAAGCGCCGGUUAACUACGUGCCCCCAGCCGCUGUAAUCAGAGGCGGGGUA